rnacentral:lncRNA from 1 species
CCUGAUCUGCAAGGGCAAGCAGAGGACUCAUGUGCUAGAGCGCACGACGGGGCCAACCACAAUGCACCUCAGUGCUGCUGAUACUGGGGUUUGCAGAUUGGUCUGCGGAGGAUGGUCAGAGUUUGGACAACCAAAGCUUCUCUCCGAGCUCAGAAGUCUUCAGUUCCAGCAUGGCCACUGUAUUAUUUUUGACGCCAAAUCUUGACCUCUUCUUUAGUGCUGUUAUGCCAAAUCUUGACCGGUUCACUAUCCAUAGGAGACGGGUUCGGACAGACCCCAUUGAUUCAUUAUGUAAAGCAACAGACCAAACGAUUCAGUGACCUGAUAGGAUAUGCUCCGAUCCUUUUUCAGAAAUGUAUUGCUCACUGUACCACAGGGCACCACAUAGCUUAACAAACCCAUGUCGCUACGACAUGUAUCAGCUACGUAGUAUUUCUACCUGUUGUAUGGAAUCGGGCUUUUUCUUAUGGGCAGAUUAAUGUGAUGUAUCGUAAAUCCGUUAAAUGCAUUAUCAGCAUGGUCACUCCAGA